CCGGAACCCGCCCUGCGCUCGGCUUUGCUCCGCGUUUCCCGGGGUGCCCGGGAGCAGCCGCGGGCCCCCUCCGGCCUUCGCGGAGGGACGGGAGGGCGGUGGGGCCCCAGGGCGUGCCCGAUCGCCUGUCCACUCCCGGCCGCCACGCGCUGCGCCCGGCCCGAGGUGACCCGCGGGCAGGGCGGGUCCGCGGCCAGGGGCGCUGCGCAGGUCGGCGGCCGGCGGGCGUGGCGCGGAGAGGCGGCGAGGUGGCCCGCAUGGCGCUGGGAGCCGCGCUGCGGGCACGGGCGGGCGGCGGCCUCACGCACCGCUGGGUGCGGUGCCGGGCGCGGGCGCGAGGCGACGAGGACGCCCAGGCCGUGCUGGACGCGGAGGCCGAGGCCCCGGGGCGCGCGGACCCCGAGGGCGCACAGGGCCCGCACCCGGCCUCGCGCCCGGAGCCCCAGCCACAGGAGGAGGCGGCGCCCGGGGAGGCGCGCGGGAAGCGGCGCCGACGGCGGCUGAAGAAGUGCGGCAAGAACGUGGGCAAGGUCGUCACCAAGGGCUGCCGAUACCUCGUCCUUGGCCUGCAGAGCUUUGCCGCUGCCUACUCCUCCCCGUUCGCAGUGGGCACCAGCGUGGUGUCCCUUGUGCGCUAGAGGACCCUGCGCCUUUCGGACUUGGACUCGCAGAGCACGAGCACUGAGCACCGGAUGAGAAGCUGCCUUCCUUGUUGGGUCGGAUGGGUCAAGCGCCAGCCAGCCUGCCGCCUCCAGCGGGCUGCCAGACACUGGCCUGAGGGGCCCACCUGGGGCCAGGGGAGUUGGUCCCUGGGACACUCAUCCUUCGGGGAAGGCGGCAGGGUGGGCUGGAGACUGAUUUGGGCAGGGUGGGCUGGAGACUGAUUUGAGCAGCGUGGGCAGCCGAUGGCCGCUCCAGAGCAGGAAUCUCCUGCACAGGGCGCGGGCUCCCGGGCCGCCCAGGGCCCUGGCUUCCUGACUUCUGAGGCUGAGCAAAGCAGCUGUUUAUUUCUCAAGUCAUUCUCUCCCACCCUGUCACUCCACCACUCUGUCAAGGGAGUUUCAUCACAGGCUCAGGAAGAGGGAGGGAGGGAGGGAAGGAAGGAAGGAAAGGACAGCCUCCCUUUGAAGGCGCUGAGGAUUGCCUCCUGCAUUCUCAGCUGGGCCACAGAAGGGGGAGGAAGCCUCUCCUCGGUGCCUGGACCCUGGGAGAGUGGGGGGCACAGGAAGCUGGGACGGGUGAGGAUUCAGAAGAGGAGCCAGAAAGUAGCAGACGGUUGGAGGAUGUGGAAGAGGGCAGGAAGGGUGUCAGAGGAGCAGCAGGGGCAGGUGGGGAAGUCCAGUGUCGGGGGGCCCAGGCAGCUGGGGCUGUAGUUCUGGGGGACCGGGGGGGCUGCCAGGGCCCAUGGCGGGGCUCGGCCCUCUGUGGCCCGCAGGCUCACACUCGGGUGUGGAGCGCCCUGUCCUGCCCUGUGCAACCAGCUGACGCGGACUCCCUGGAUCCCGAGGUUGGGGUGCUUGAGGUCCUGGCCCUGUCAGCGCAGCCUGCACUCUGAGUUGCUUGAGGGAGGUGGAGGGUGGAGAAGAUCCCUCUGCCCUCUGCUGACCCCUGCGACAGGCUGAGUUCCAGCUGUGCCCAGAAUAUCCAGAGGCCUGGAUGCUCCUGCCUCAGCCACCCAGCCCAGCCAGGGCCCGCCCGGGGGGGCAGGGAAGCCGUAGAGGGACGGAUGGAUGGAUGGGCUGGUGGAGAAAACGGUGACUGGAGGUGAGGUAGGGUAGAAGGAAUGAAGCCAGGGAAACGAGGCAAAGACCAGAAUUUUAAAAUUGUGUUUUUCAGAAAAACUUCAGCUUUAGGACACAAAAGUUGCUCAAGCCUUUUUUCCUUUCAGGAAACUCAAUUUUUUUUUUUUUUGGUACCGGGGAUUGAACUUGGGAACCACUGAGCUCAAUCCCCGGCCCAAGGAAACUCAAAUUAUUUAUCCCCAAGGGCCGUAAAGAUACAAUGAGCCUGUAAAUUGGGCUUCCAGGGGCCUGUAUUUUUUACUUUUUUUUUUUAGGACAGGGUCUCACCAUGGAGUUCAGGCCAGCCUUGGACUCAUUAAGCAACCCAGGCUGGCCCCGAAUUCAUGGAAAUCCUCCUGCCUCAGUGUCCAAGUGCUCGGAUUACAGCUGUGUGCCGCUGUGCCUGGAUUUUACUUGUUUACUAUACUUUCUCCCACAAACUUCUACCUUCAGGGAGGCAGCAGUGUUAGUGGGCGGUAGAUCCCAACUUCGGGCUUGUGGAAAUCGUGUUCUGAUGAGCAACGUGACAGACAGUAGCAACACACAUCCCAGGCACCCCUCUCGGCCCGCAGGCCCCAUAACUGCGCCCAGCUCCGACCAUAGGCACCCCCCCCCCUCCAGGACUCGCAGGCUGUGUGUGUCUUUCAAUGUACGCUUUUAAAAUGUUUGUCUAAUAAAUUCCUUCGUGCCUCUUCUAACAUGUCCUGAAAAUUCCUUUUCCAAGCUGGAGUCAGUAGGGGUACAGCUUAGUCCUCGGGUAAGGCUUGGGGGUCUCCCGGGACCCCAUGCUGCAUCACAGACACGGAUCCUGCGUUGGCCAGUGCUGCAGGUCAUGUGCACACAUGGGAGAUCACCGAGGGCAGAGUGUGGAGCAGAGAAGGACCUCAGGGCCCAGGGCCUGCUGGCCCCCUGAGGGAAGCAGGACCCCUGCACCAGGUCCCCCGGUGAGUAGGGUGUCGCCUGGGGAGGGGGCCAGGGACUUCCCUGCCCCCCAAGUUGGAAAAUCCGCAAAAUCAAGCACAUCUGGCCCUGAACUUCUGAAGGUCUGGUUAAGAAUUAACUCAGAAAUGUCACAAGUCAGAGGCUCGCGGGGCUUGUCCUGAGGAUCGGGCUCACAGAGAGGACUUCACCCAGCUCCCAGUGCCCAAGGGUCACCCCCACGGCAGGGCCGAGUGCUCCCUGCGCCUACCCCAUCAAGUAGCAGGUCGCCUUUUUACUUUGCUCUCUGAUCGUCAGUACCACGGCCGCUGCCCUCCUGGGAACCGAGUUCUAGAGCUCUCCCUUGGGCCCGUGGAGCACAGCUUCUUCCCUAUCCUUUCCUCGGCCUGUGAUGUGAACAAGCUCCAGCCUGGUCAGUGUUUCCGUGCCAAGGCUGUUUCUCCCUCACUUUCUUCCUUGCCUGGAAACCUGGUGCAGCAGGUGUCCUGAGAGACUGGCGAGGACAGCGCCCUGGGGACUGCGGCUCUGAUGUCCUGGCCUCCCUGGCUCCACCCCCUGCGGAAUCUCGUCUCUGGCCCCAGCUUUGGUUCCUGGCCUGGAAACCUGCCUGCUGUCCUCAGAGAUUUCAGCCUGUCUUGCGUUCCUUUGCACUCAGUCAUUCAACAAGUGGACCUGAGCAGCUCCCGGUGCCCAGCCCAGGGCCUGUGGAUCUCCGUGUUGGUUUUGCCAGAAUGCAGGAAAGACUUGGCUUUGCUGGGCCUCCAGGGGUUGCUGGCCAGUAGGAGGAGUCGCCUGGGGCCCGGGGAGGGGUCGGCUCUGACCUCGCAGGCCCAGGCUCCGCCCUCGCAGGCGCAAGCUCUGCCCUCCACAGGCGCAGCCUCGGCUCGCAGGGCGCAGGGCGACCUGGGGGUUCCUCCGCAGGCUCCCAGGGUCCCCAGGUCCGAAAGCGCUGGCCGUGGCCGUGGUGGGCCGCUUGCGGGGAACUCAGUAGAUCCCUGCGCCACAAAAAUAAAAUACAAGUGCAGAAAGUUUUAUUUUGUGAACACUUACCGUCUGCCUUCUGAAUAGUCAUCUCAGAAUACUUAAAAAUGGAAGAAAGUAAAAAUAAUGGUGAUUCUGCAACCCCACGGGGGCGUUUGCCAGCGCCCGGUGCCUUCCACCGCCGCCCCAGUGCAGCUGCUUGCGAGGUGCGGGGUCUCCUAGUGCCGCGGGGCCGGAGGGGCCCGCUGUUCUCUGUGUGGACCUCUGCAGGGUCGUCCCGGACCACACCGCCCUGGGCACGGGCCGGGGCCGGGGCAGGACAAGCCAGGGACAGACGCACCGACACAGGAUCAACCAUGGGGACCAAGGACAAACAAGCUCCGGGCGCUCAGCCUGUUACUCGGGAGGAGCAGGAUUUGGUGCUGACGCUGGCAGCAUGUGUACUAAAGCUGGAAUGAUACAGAGCUCACCACAGCUCCUGUGCAAGGAUGGAGUGCAAAUUCAUGACGCUCUCAGAGGGGGAGGGGGAGGGGGAGGAAGAAUUCUCCUUCUGGGCCGAUUAGGUCUUAAAAUAUUGGUUUUACUAUUAAAACAAACCCCCAAACAGAAACAAAAACCAAAACCUGAAACCACGUGACUCUUCACUUGGUAUGGGUAACUAAAAGCAGAAUAAAGCUUGACCUGCAGUUGGUAAAACUCUGGGCCAAGUUCUUCUUUGCUCUGCAUAGAGACAUUUUGGUCCUUUGGGAAGCAUCCAUCUAAAAGUUGGCAAAACAAGGUUUACUGGCCCCAGAUUCACCUCGUCCCCCUUUAAGACUGAGGACGGCAAGAGUACCACAGUAAGUUUCAGGAUUUGCCGGGACAGCCGAUGGCCAGAUUUUGCAACAUCCAAUUCCAGGCCUCCCUGGAAUGCCACCCAGUCUCCUGACCUGUCAUCAGCCCAGCUUCCAGGACAGGCAGAGCUGUACAGACUCCCCCACGAUGAGGCACCUGCUCGAAGCAAGAACACUAUUACAGCUGUCAUCAAAAAGUCAGAUUAUGCAUGUACUGAAGAUGUCCAGAGGCUGGACUCCUGCAUUCCAGCUGGAAAAUGGUCAGGCCAUUUCUCAAAAUGCUACCCAUGUAGUUGGUAUUUGACCCAGCAAUUCUGUUCAUUGGUAUCUAUCUGUGAAAAUGAAAACGUGUCCACACAAAACAUGUGCACAGAUGUUCAUAGCAGGAUUAUUCAGCAUGAGCAAAACAUGUAAACAAUCCAAAGGCCAUCAGCAGAUGAAUGGCUACACAAAAUGCAGUGUAUUCACACAGAGGGGGGCCAGGGAUUUAGCUCAGUGGUUCUGCCGCCUGCCUCGCAAGCACAAAGCCCUGAGUUCAAUCUCUGGUGCCAGAAAAAAAAAAAUCAAUUGUCACAUAGUGGGGUACUAUUUGGCCAUAAAGAGGGAUGAAGCAAUGCUAUAUACUAUAAUGGGGAUGAAUUUUGACAUUAUGGAGAGAUCCAGUCACAAAAGGCCACAUCUUGUAUGCUUCCCUGUAUGGGAAAUGUCCAGAAGAGGCAAAUCCACAGAAAAAGAGCGAGAUUAGUGGAUUCUAUCUAGGGUUGAAAGAAAACGGGGUUUGACUGCUAAUGAGUACAUGGCUUUCUGAGGUGAUGAAAAAGUUCUAAAUUUCAUGUUGGAGAUGUUUGCUUCAUCUGGAAGAACCUGUUGGUUGAGGCCACCACAUCCGGGGUGGUUCUUCCCUCCUCAGUUUCCAGCCUACCUGUCAAUCAUCCACAGACAUGCCCAGAGCUUUACUGAUCUCCUGGCCAGUUGUUUCUCCGUCACGUCUGCACUGACAUAUCGUAGUUAGCGAUCACAGAAGACUUAGUCUAAUCGGAGGUUGUGAGGAUUUACAUUGUUAUUUUCUUUUAAGACAGAGUUUUAGUUUUAACUCUUUCAAGUAGGCCUAUCAACCGUUCUGCAUUAGACUUCUAUAUGGGGCACUUUGAACAUGAUAUCUAGCUAUUUCAGCGCCAAAAGUUGGAAAGAAUGUCUCAUCCAUACUGAUUUGUUUUGGGGUUCAUCAAAAAUCAAUUAAGCUUGAAUAUAAUUUAUUUCUGGAGUCUUCAUUGCAUUCUGUUGAACUGCAUGCCAAGCUUUGUGCCAGUGCCGAAAAUGUCUUGACAUUUGUAGCUGUGUAUUGUGUUUUGAAAUCAGGGAGUGUGAGUCCUCCAAGUUUGAUUCUAUCUUUCAAAUUGGUUUUGCUGUUCUUGGUCCCUUGAAUUCUAUUUAAAUUUUAUGAUUAAUUUGUCAGUUUUUACCAAAAAAGCCAGAUGAGAUUGUUGACCAGAUAGCAAUGAAACUGUAGGUCAAUUUGGGGAACAUUAUCAUCUUAUAGCGUUAAGGCUUCCAAGGCCAGAAGCAUGAUGUUUUUCAUUUAUUUAAGACUUCUGGAAUUUCUUUCAAUAGUAUUUUGUAGUUCUCAAAAUACAAGUUUUACACACCUUCUGUUAAAUUUAUUCCUAAUAACUUAUUCUUUUUUGUUGUUGUUGUUGUUUGUUUGUUUUUGUUUUGUUACCAGGGAUGGAACGAGGGACCUUGCGUUUGCCAGGCAAGCGGCAGAACCACUGAGCUAAAUCCCCCGCCCUAACUUAUUCUUUUUGAUCUCAUUGCAAAUGUAAUUUUUCUUAAUUUCCUUUUAAGACCAUUCAUUUAAUAGUGCAUAAAAAUACAAAGACUUUUUGUAUAUUGAUUUUGUAUUCUGCUACCAUGCUAAUUCACUUACUCUCUUUUUUUCCAUCACAGUAGGAAUUGAACACAAGGCCCUCGCCCUGAACUACUUCCCCAGUUCUUUUUGUAUUUUUAAAUUUUGAGACAAGGUCUUGCUCAAUGUCACUAAGUUGCCCAGGCUGGCUUGAACCUGCAAUCCUCCUGCCUCAGCCUCCCAGAAUGCUAAGUUUAUAGUAUGAACCACCAUGCCCAGCGUACUUAUUAUCUUUGAUAAUAUUUUUUAGUGAUUACGUAGGAUUUUUUAUAUGUAACAUUAUGUUACCUGUGAGUAGAGUCUGGUCUUAUUUUUUCUCUUCCAAUAUGAAUUCUGAGUAUUUCUUUUUCUUGCCUAGUUGCUCUGGCAAGAACUUCCACUGCACUACUGAAUUAUAAAACAGCAGAAGCAGACAUUCCUGACUCGAUCCUGAUUCAGGAGGAAAGAAGGCAGUCUUUCACCAUAGGAAUGCUACGUGCUUUUCUCGGAUGAGAUUCAGAUUGAGAAAGUUCUUUCCUAUUCCUAAAUUAAUGAGUAUUUUUACCAUGAAAGGAUACUGGAUUUUCCCAGUGCAUUUCCUGCACUUAUUGAGAUGAUAGUGUGUUUUUUGUUUUUUGUCCUUUUUGUGGCCUUUCUAUUGACAACUUAUAUUACAUUAACUGAUUUUUGGAUGUUAAACCAACCACAAUGCUGGACAAAUUCCACCUGACUGUAUGUUGUUGGACUCAGUUUGCUAGUGUUUUAUUGAAGAUUUUUAUACCUAUAUUCAUAAAUGAUAAUGUUCUAUAGUUUUCUUUUCUGAAGGUGUCACAGGAUAAUGAUACAUCUGGCUUUGGUAUCAAGAUAAAGCUGGCCUCAUAGAAUGAGAAGAGAUUUUUUUCCCUUCUCUUUAAUUUUUUUUUUUUUUUUUUGGUACCAGGGAUUGGACUCGGGUCCUUGCGCUUGUGCAGCAGGCAGCGAAACUACUGAGCUAAAUCCCCGGCCCCCGUUCUGUUCAAUAUUUUGAAGAGUUUGUAAAAGUAGGUUUUAGAACUUAAAAGUAUUUUGGAGAAUUCACCAGUGAAGUUAUCCAGGCCUUUGUGGAAAAUAAUCACUAAUUUAAGUUCUUGUUAUAGAUCUACUUAGGUUUUCUAAUUCUUCCUGAGUCACUUUUGUCAGUUUGCAGUUUUCUAGAAAUCUAAUUUUGUCUACUUUGUUUGACUUGUUGGCACAUAGUUUUCUUCGUACUCUGUUAUAAGCCUUUCAUUUCUGUAAGAUUGGUACUGCUGUCUCCCAUCUUUAUUGCUAUACCUUAAUUUACUGUAUGAACCACCAGAAUGUAUUUGUUCUAUCUGCUGUGGGUAGAUAUAUGGGCAGUUACCUGGCCCAUUCUUCCAUUCUUUGGUUUCAUAACAAUUGUUCUUAUAUGCCAAGGACUCCUCUUUCUGGUGACAUUUCUUGGGAGCCUCAGGAUAUUGCCCAAUGAACUUGGCACAAAGAAACUUGGAAAACAUUUCUGCUUUCACCCUGGCCACACUGAAGGCAGGAUUGCUUCUGUCUUUGACCCUGAGAUCUUCCCAGAUCUGGCUGGCAUUCCAGGAUUGGCUUGUGGAACUGGACUUUGCACCUUGUCAGGCACAUGAAGGCAGUAAAUGUUCCUGAGUGUGCACAGGUGUGACCACAUCCCUAGAUGCUUCUGUGUGGGAGGCAUGGGGGAAGGUGGGGAACGUCCCGAGGUGGCGUCUGGUUGGAGGAAGUAGUCACUGGGGGCUGCCUUGUGAGGGUAUGUUUGUCCCUGGCCUCUGUGGCUCUCUUUCUGCCCCCUGGGCCCAUGAGCCGAGCUGCUUUGCUCCGCCUGGCCAUGGACCUCAGCAAUGCAACCAGUGAACCAUGACCUGAGCCCUGAAACCAUGAGCCAAAACAAGUCUUGCUUCUUUUAGGUUGAAUUCCUCAAGUAUUUUGUCACAGUGACAAAAAGCUACCAUGUUUCCUGACUAUAAUAUUCUCUGAUUAACUGACUCUAUCCUCAUGUUAUCACACACCUGACAAGCUUGUAAUAAGGAGAGCCGGAGUGGGGAGUUUUUGUUGCUUCUUGUGUAAGUUUUUUUUCCUGUAACAAAAUGCCCAAGGUAGCUAACUUGCUCAGUUCUGGAGGUUUUGGUCCAUGGUCAGGUGGGUUGCUGGUUUGUUGGUUUGUGUGAGGUAGGACAUCGUGGAGGGGACAUAUAACAGGGGAAUUUUUCACCUCAGGAUGCCAGAAACCAAAGGAGAAGAGGGUCAUCCUUCAGGUCACCCCAGAUGACCUAACUUGCUCCAGCUGGGCCCCACACCUUAAAGGUCAUACCACCUUCCAGUAGCACCAGGGACUGAGGACUGAGAUUGUCAUGGAAGGGCCUUUGGGGACAUUUAUCAGCCACGACACUUCUCAUCCGAAUCCCAUUGACCUUUGGAAGCUUUUCAUUAAUAGGCCUAAUAAUUAGCUAGAGAAAUUCCAGGGCCUGGACUUGUGGGCUCCCAGGGUGACCCCAGAAACCACAUGGGUUCCUCCAAGGAGUCAAAAUCCUAAAGUGCAUACAUUACUGCACAUAUGGUGGGGGAAGCUGGUUCUUUUUCGCUGUCCUCAAGUAUUUAAACAAUUUGUCAAAGCUUGGACUGGAAGGGAACAUUGAAAACCAGUGUACUUAGAGCAGGAAAAAUGCAGGGUGUGAGAGGAAACAUUUGUCCUCACAAUGGCCUUUGAGUAGGGGAGCCAAUUGGGCAGAAGAUGAAUUCUUCAAAUUUAAUGAAAUUAUUCGUGCAACAAAAGAAGGAAAUAAGAGCUGUGUAGGGCAUAUGUGAGAUUUCCUCUUCCUUUUACUGGACAUCUAGCAGAGUCCCGGGCUCUGGCUGGGCCUUUCUGGUUCCACAGCUCUCAACGCUGUCCUGGUACCAAGGCAACUCCCUCUGAAAAUGCUCAGUGAGGAGAGAACCUUCUUCCUGACCCUGAAUCCCUCCUUUGGACCUCUGUGUGUCACUAGAUUCCAACCCCCUCCCCUCGAUCUUCACUGGGUUCCACUUAUAUGCAUGUGUUUGUACAUUUGGGCACACAUGUUUUACACAUUUGACUGUAAGCUUCUAGCACUUUGUAAACCUAGGAGUCUUGCAUAUAAUAAAUAUUUGGUCACAAUUUACAGACGUUACUAUUAACUUUUUUUGGUAGUACUGAGGACCUGCAGAGGACGAUAGCAUUGAUUAUGCCCAAGGCAGGCUGUGAAGAGCCAACCCCACAGUCAGCUUGUUUAUAGAAGUGAGUCCGGCUGAAGCCUACGUGCUGAGGUCAGAGUAACUCGCACCCAAAUUCCAUUCCCACAACUAAAACCUUCAGAUUAGAAGGACAGUGUUCUAAUCACAAUCAUAUAUUUUGUCUAUUCUGUUCCUAAUUUGAGAGUGCCAUGUCUUGUCCUUCACAAGCCUUGUUUACAUUAAUUUCCAUAGAAACCACUCAUUGCUCGCCUUUACCCCAGUUGAUUGCCUAUAAAAGUCAGUGCCUGGGACUGGCCAGGGCCUUUGUCGGUUGCAUUGCAUUGGUCGUCCUGGCUCCCUGCUUUCUCUCCUAGUUCUGUCUCUUUGUGCAUUUAUUUCUCAGACCUGCAUCAUAUACUGGGCAGGUGAGGACUGGAACCCGACUGACUACAGAGGUCUCCAGCAAUUGGUGCCCAUUGUGGGGGCUUGAACUAUAAGCAAUCACCUGCUCAGUGAGGCUACUCAGGGUAAAGAGGAAGAAAAGAAAAAGGAAAAAAAGGAAUCCAGGAUGCAGUGCACCUCACAUCAAGAUAAGGAAGUCUAAACAUGAAGCACAAAACCCUGGAAAAAAGAGGUAGAUGCUUCAGAUGCAAGACGGUAGUAAAGGUAGUCAGCUGGGACCAAAACAUGAGGAAAUCACUUUCAGCCCAAGCUGGCCUGCAGUGUUGAACUAAGUGCUGCAAAAGGUAAAUAUAGCCAUCAUUUUUCACCAACAAGAACUUUAGAUAUGGAACUUAGGCAGCGUGUCAAAAAUAACAUCCAGACAACUCAGCAGAGAAGAGAAGUUAUCUCCCCUGAGACUUUAACUGAGACCUUGACAGCUUGGAGCUUUGUGCGCUCUGUUUUGCGGCCCGAACAGUGAAGCCUGGGAGCCGCUCAAGCUUCUGUUUUGCGGCAAUGAGCCGCCGGUGAGAACUGUUUAGUUUUGUUCUUAGAACAACUGCUCCCCAAAUCUGCUGUCUUUCACAAAGCGGACCUGCCUCUCAGGAAAUGUGACAUCGUUACAGGCAAACCCCAGUGCUCCCCUCUGGAGGAGGCCAAGCUUCCUCCCCCUUGACUUGAGCUGCAAGCUCACAGGUGCGGAGGAGGUGGGUAAAAAGCAUGAGGAGAACUGCUUGGCUUCCAUGCACUGGGAAGUGCCAUGGUCACACUCAGAAAAAAUCAAAACUUGCACUCAGAUUGGGAAGAACUGAAAUGAGAAAAUAAAUAAUGGAUUGAAAACAGCUAGAAACGCUUUGGAAAGCAUAAAGCAAAACAAUGAGAAAAACACUCCUGGCUGUAAGAGCCAUGGCCAGCGCUGCGUUAUCAGCCUGAUGCUGCCUGCAAAGGUCUGGAAUCCAAUACAAAGCCAGGGAAACUGCAACUGGUCUCUACCAGACAUAGAGAUUUUAUAAGAGAAAUCAAGCUACAAAUUUUAGCUAAUUGAUAAAUGUAUCUUUGUUAUAAUUUGCGUUGAUGUUUAAUUGGUGUGCCUAAAACAUUUCUUGUGCAUUGCAAAUUCUUGCAUUGUAAUUAUAGGGUUAACUUGUUCUUUUCUGUACUUUGUUGAUGAAGAACUCAAAGUUACUGCUGUUCUAUUGGCAGCCAGUCAAAUUUUAAAUUGUAACAAUCUCAGAACAGAAAAAAAAGAGACACUUUAAAAUUUUAACAGCUGAAGACAAGUUUUUAAUAGAAGAUUUAUAGUAAGUGAGAUGGAGGAAAAAUAUUAAAAAGGCUAUAAGUAAAAGAUAUUUUUGUUGGUACUGGAUAUCAAACUUGGGACCUUGCACUUGCACAGCAGGCACCAGACCCACUGAGCUAAAUCCCUGGCCCAAGAGAUAUAUUUUUGAUAUGAAAGGAUUUUUCUUUUUGCGGGGGUACUGUGGAUUGAACUUGGGACCUUGCGCUUGCAAGGCAGGCAGCAGUACCACUGAGCUAAAUCCCCAGCCCCGAUAUGAAAGGAUUUUGUAUGUUUGUCUUAUUAGAAGAAUAAAGAGAGAUAUACAAGAUCAGAAGGCCUAGGUAUGUUGAGAAGGUGUGUGGAAGUGAUUUAUCAAGAAAAUAUGUAUAUUUGCUUAUUGGCUUCAAGUUUGUUAUAAAAGGUUUGCAUUUACAGGCAUAAAGAGCUUUCAUUCUUUCCAGUUCUACAAGAGAUCUCUGUUAAUUGACUUACAAAGAGUUUUGACCAGUCUUAUUUACAAUUAUGAACCUAAAAAUUAUGAAAGGAUUUAUAAUUCAAUUAAGCUAAAUAUCUAGUUUUAUAAAUUGUCUUAUGUUUGUUUGUUUGCCCGUUUGUCUGUCCAACUGUACAGUUGUGUUGUUUAACAAGUUUAUUCCUUUAAAAAAUUUUUUUUAAAAAGAUAUUUGCUUAUAAUCUAAAUUGGCUUGUAGAUAAAGGUUAUGAAACUUAAAGGCAUGUAUUAUCCCCACCCCAGUUGCUAACAGAUCAAAAUGAUGUAAUAUAUAUUGUUGUCUAAUAUAAUCACUCCAAAACAUUAAUUGGUGGGCUGGAGUUUUAGCUCAGUGGUACUGCCACUUGCCUCGCAAGCACAAGGACCCGAGUUCGAUCCCUAGUACCUAAAAACCCCCACAUGAAUUGGUUACAAAUAAUGUAUUAAUUGUUACAAUCUGGUUUUUACAGGUUAUUAAGUAAGCUUUGUCAAAGGAAUUAAUGAAGAUCCAUAGGUUUAGAGAGAUUGCUAAACAGGACUCCUCUUGGUGAAUACAAGAGCGGCCAUGUGGAAAUAUUUUCCAGCCUUUGCUCACUAGGGGAACCUCAACAGUUUGUAUACUCUUACAACAGACUGAUCCUGAUAGUUUUCAUAGCCUUAAAAGAGACUUACAUCAAUGAAUAUUACUUUAAAAUGUUAUUGUAAUAUGAUUACAUUGGUUGUCAUCAAAGGCUUAAGCUCUAAAUAUGUUAUGUGAUAUGUUUACACUGGUCAUCUUCAAAAGAUUGAAUUUUCUGUGAAAACAAAGCAAGGUUUUAUUGAAAAGAUGCUUUUUACCAAACUAAAUUAGAGGGUAUAAGGUUUCACAUAUAUAACUGUGGUAAUUAUUAUUGUUAACUUUCUGGUGUACUAAAUGUAUUUACGCUUUCUGACUGUACAGGUUUUCUAAUAUAUUGUUUAUGAUAAUAACCUUCUUUUGAUUCAGGUAUUUGCCAUUCUAUUAUACUCCAGCUACUUACGAUAAGAGGUACAUUUAUAAGCUGAUGUAUUUUGUUUAGACGGCAUCCCAUCAAAAGACAACAAUUUGGAUAAUAAUGUUUUGAGUUUUUGGAAGAGAAUGAGUGCAUUUAACAAUGGCUAUUUUAUACCAAGAUGGACACUUAAGUGUGUUACAAAGAUAAUGCCAUCAUGAUUGUCAUGCUAAAAUAUUAUGUGUGGCUCUUGAUUUGAAACUUUUUUUUCUGUUAACAUUUUACAGGAAUUUAAUGGCUAGAACAACCAUGAUUGGUAAUAAUAACAGUCUUCUAACUAUACUUUAUAUUUCAAAGUGCUUGAUAUCCAGGGGCCGGGGAUUUUAGCUCAGUGGUUCCAGUGCCUGACUUGUAAGUGCAAGGUCCUGAGUUUGAUCCCUGGUGCCAACAAAAAAAAAAGUGCUUGAUAUCCAGAUAAAAUUAUGACAGUUAAGUUCACUACUCCCAUUGCAAUGCUAAUGUUAUUGAUAUUCUGUUCUGGGUGUUCAACAACUAAUGCUUAGAUACCAGAAUUAAAAAGAUGACUUGUGGUAAGAAGACAGCCAAUAUUUUGGCCCUGACCCUUCAAGGUCUACAAAUAACCCAGAAAGUGAAGAACAUUUUCUACCUGAUCCUCUCGUUAUUUUGCUUUACCAACUUUGCUCUACCAACUUUGUUAAGUCACCCAACCUCCUGAGCAGAGAGAUUGUUGGACACCAAAAAGAUAAGAAUCAAGAGUGUGCCAAAGGAGUGUCACUUGUAGGGAAAAAUCUCCCACGCUUUCACAGAAAGCAACAUGGUCAAGCAAGCCCAUGACACACCCUGAUGGCUGACACGACAGGAGUUGAAAAGCUCUAUGCAAGGUUCAAGUCAUGUCUGUGGAGACUUAAUUGACCUUGAUAGACUCCAAGAGGUUACUUUUAAUUAAUGUAGGUCUCACCUUAACUUGCUCUUGAACACCCAGUAGAAAAGCAUAAUCCAAAGAUAGAUAAAGUCAGGACCAUAGUAAUACAGCUGGAUAUAAGAAGGGGCUCCAAUUGCUGACCCCUACUGACAGUUUCCAGCUACACUCGUGACUCACUCCUGUUAUGGGUCAAUAGAAAAAACUAUGGUAAAAUUUAUAGACCUCCACAAGAGUUUUAACAUUUUUAGCUGAAAUUGUUUUUUUAAUUAUUAAAUUUUCAGUCUUUUUACAGCUAAAAUUUAAAAAAUUAUGACAAAUAUCAGACUUAUAGAUAACCUCUAUUAAUAAAAGAGUCUAAGAGCCAGCAGUUUACAAUUACUAUUUUAGUCUUUUAAAAACAGUUUCUAAACAUGGCUGUUUCCCCAACCUGCUUUUUUAUUUUAGUACUUAUAAUUUGAUUAUAAUGCUCUAAUUUCUUUAAAAAAUUGUUUAUUCUUGCCUAUAGGCUGCCAAACUCCAAGUGAUUAUGUAGAUAAAAUCAACAACAAAUGUGCUAGAUUUUUUUAACCAAAAUCCACCAGAUUGACUUUGUAUAGAGAGUUUAUAAUUGCUAAAUCACAACAUGAUUUUAUUUAAGGCCUAUUAAAUUAGCUCCCUGAAGAGAGCCUCUGUCUUCCUUACAUCCACGCUUCCCAGCUCGAAGAAGUUAGAUUGAAACUAUGCCCUUUCUCCCCUAGCUGCAGUUGGAGGUGCUCCUUGGAAAGGGAAUUAUUAUAGACAGUUAAGCCAGUUAGACACAUUGUAAGUUUUUGUCACAUAGGGUCCACUGGCUAACUCAUGGGGCCAAGCCAUUGUUGAACGUAUUCACCUUUCCCUAAAGGCACAAUAAACCCAAAGGGGGGGGUGCAGCUACCUCCACAAGCUCAAUUAGAUCUUGUUACUUUCAUUUAAAAAUUUUUAAAUCCACGUAUGGAAAGUAAAUAUAUACAAAGAAAGACCUACAGACAUGUCCUAGACAAUAGUGCUGUCAAAGGAUGUCCUAACUAAAAGGUAAAUGGCUCCAUACAAUUAAUAACAUAGGGGCCAGGGGAUGCUUAUUUUUCAACAGAAAAUAAAAAGAUGUUGUGGCCAUCACCCCAGAACAUACCACCUUGAACCAACAAGAUGGAUUCGCUAUAAGCAGCAUGAUGUGACACCCUGCUGAAAGCCAUGCACAGGCUGCCUCUGAUUCACUCCCCUCACCUGCCACAGCCCUGGGACCUGCAAAGAUCACCAGACCUGAUGGAGCUGCUGUUUUCAAACAGAGAAGGGAGAGCUGCGGAGGACUGUAAUAUUAUGCCCAAGGGAGGCUGUGAAGAGCCAACCCCACAGUCAGCUUGUUUAUAGAAGUGAGUCCAGCUGAAGCCUAUGUCCGAGGUCAGAGUAACUCGCACCCAAAUUCCUUUCCCACAACUACACCUUCAGACUAGAAGGACAGUGUUCUAAUCACAACCAUGUAUUUUGUCUAUUCUGUUCCUAACUUGAGAGUGCCAUGUCUUGUCCUUCACAAGCCUUGUUUACAUUAAUUUCCAUAGAAACCACUCAUAGCUCACCUUUACCCCAGUUGAUUGUCCAUAAAAGUCAGUGCCUGGGACUGGCCACUGCCUUUGUUGGCUGCACCAGCACUGGUUGUCCUGGCCCCUGAUUUCUCUCCUACUUCUGUCUCUUAGUGCAUUCUUUUCUCAGGCCUGCAUCACACACUGGCCAGGUGGGGACUGGAACCUGACCGCAGGGGUCUCCAGCAAGGAUCAAAGCCAGGUGCUCUGCCAGUGAACUACAUCCACAGCCCCAUUCACUUACUCAUUUAUUUAUGUAUUUAUUUAGUAUUUUGAGACUGAGUCUCACUAUGUUGCCCAUGUAGUACUGCAGAUAGGUAGGUUAAUUAGAUAUCUUGUAGGCAGUUAGACAGGGCCAGCCCACAAGGAGCCAACAUGGAGGAGAGUGAAGACACAUUCACUGAAGGCCAGCAUUGUAAAAGGAGAGAAAUUAGCCUACCCAUGUAAGAUGAAGAGCAGUGACUGAUGUUCUAAAUAGGUA
rnacentral:lncRNA from 1 species